GAAAUAUUACAGUGAAUACCUCAAUAAAUAAUACGCGACCUUCAAAUCGAGUCACGCUUGCCAUCUAUAUGAACAGCUCCCUCUUGUAAUAUUCACAACACUGUAACAGGACCUUUUUAAUAGACUCAUAUAAAGUAUUCUUCAGCAUUUUAUAAGUAAAUGUUGGUUGUUAGCUUGCUUAAACCUCUACCCUCUAUGGCUUCUAGACCAGGACACUAGCAGGUUCUUAUAAAGUGACCAAGCAUUUACACUGAGCAUGUUGUGACUUCCCAUCUUAUAUCCAUAAGCUAAUGAGUUCCAUUUGACUGCAGCACUGGACAAGCACCGGCAUCGAGGCAGGCAGGAAACUGAGAAACACACAAGUCGACUGCAGCCCGGCAGACGCCCCCACCCCACCCCGACCACAUCUUGUCCUGCUGCAGCUGUGGGGGCCCAUCGUAACAAUCCUCACCACCUACAGCUUGAUACGAGAGUCCGGUUGAGAGCAAUUUCCAGAUUGGCUUACAGUGCGGGGAGGAACUCUACAAUGGAAUCAUUUUUCUCCACAUCACCAGCAGCUGUUAGAGGAAGAGUAGGAGUUUAUAUUGUUUAAUUUUCAUUCGUGAAUAGCCCUUCUGUCACGCACACGGAGCCUUUUGGUUCGGUGCAACUGUAUCUGUCAUCUGCAUCGUCACAAGGCAAUGUCCCACAGAGACGCCUUCAGUGAGGACCAUGUGAAUGCCAUUUGGGCUCACAGUACAGGAGAAUGCAACUAUUCACAUCACUCAUAAGUAAACUUAGUUACAGUGCAGGAAAUAUACGUUCACCAUAUGGCGGUUUCUGUGUGUAUGCAUUUACACAGAGGCCGUACAUUUUCCAGCACAGAGACCACUGACCUUUAUAACGACCAAUCUAUUUUAUCUGCGUUGGUGUUUGCAUUAAGAAAAGCUCCAAAUAGUUUCGGUAAAUCUUGCUAUUGUUAGACUGGAACAUCUAAGCCGCAAAUAUACAACCAGUGGCAAAAGUAAAUUAUAUGUUAGCCUGACAUAAUGGUAUAGUCAUCAGUUUUACAUACUCCAGAGUAUGUUUUGUGGUGAACAUCUUCUGCUGGAACACAAUGCACAGAGUAAAAUUAGCUACUUUUCAAGGUUCCUGGAUGCAAUGGUGCACUUAACCCCCUAUAGGGCAAGUGAUCAUAUUCUGUAACGUUAGCACACAUUUUAAAUUGAGUCCCUGUCUCUCUGAUUGAGGUUGAGAAGCAUGUGGUUUCCAGUCAAUCAGCAAAGAUCAACACAACGUUUUCAAGUGGUCUAAUGUUGUCUAAUGUCAUAAUGUGUAUGUUGGCAAGCGCCUGAAUCAGCACUUAAGGGCAAGAGAUCAUCUAUGGUAACUUCAUUCGCCUUGAUUUUCUACAUGAAUGGGGGGAAAAAAAGAAAAAUGUCACAAAAGUUAAAAAAAAAAGUCUCCAUAUACCCUAAAAUAACACUCUAAGGCAGGGGUCUGCAACAUUUUUCAGGCCAAGGACCCCCAAUAUGAUGAGAUUAAAGUAAGGACAACCUUCCUACUAUAUGUGUUCUAUAUUAAACUCAGCCUAGUGCAGGUAAAUACCUGCAGAACUUCAGUGAAUGCACUAUAAAGGGUUAACUGUAACAUGUCAGUAAAAUCCUUUGUUUAAUGUACAUUGAUAUAUUGAAAUAAAAUACUUUGGCAACCACA